GAUCAUGCUCAGGAUGAACGCUGGCGGCGUGCCUAAUACAUGCAAGUCGAACGCUUCACUUCGGUGAAGAGUGGCGAACGGGUGAGUAAUACAUAAGUAACCUGGCAUCUACAGGGGGAUAACUGAUGGAAACGUCAGCUAAGACCGCAUAGGUGUAGAGAUCGCAUGAACUCUAUAUGAAAAGUGCUACGGGACUGGUAGAUGAUGGACUUAUGGCGCA
rnacentral:rRNA from 1 species